rnacentral:rRNA from 1 species
GAUGAACGCUGGCGGCGUGCCUAAUACAUGCAAGUCGAGCGAAUGGAUUAAGAGCUUGCUCUUAUGAAGUUAGCGGCGGACGGGUGAGUAACACGUGGGUAACCUGCCCAUAAGACUGGGAUAACUCCGGGAAACCGGGGCUAAUACCGGAUAACAUUUUGAACCGCAUGGUUCGAAAUUGAAAGGCGGCUUCGGCUGUCACUUAUGGAUGGACCCGCGUAGCAUUAGCUAGUUGGUGAGGUAACGGCUCACCAAGGCAACGAUGCGUAGCCCACCUGAGAGGGUGAUCGGCCACACUGGGACUGAGACACGGCCCAGACUGCUACGGGAGGCAGCAGUAGGGGAUCUUCCGCAAUGGACGAAAGUCUGACGGAGCAACGCCGCGUGAGUGAUGAAGGCUUUCGGGUCGUAAAACUCUGUUGUUAGGGAAGAACAAGUGCUAGUUGAAUAAGCUGGCACCUUGACGGUACCUAACCAGAAAGCCACGGCUAACUACGUGCCAGCCGCCGCGGUAA